AACGAACGCUGGCGGCAUGCCUAACACAUGCAAGUCGAACGAGACCUUCGGGUCUGGUGCCGCCCGGGUGCGUAACGCGUGGUAAUCCGCCCUUAGGUUCGGAAUAACUCCCCGAAAGGGGUGCUAAUCUCGGCUAAUGUCGUCUGACCAAAGAUUUAUCGCGCUUGGAUGGGCCCGCGUUGGAUUAGAUAGUUGGUAGGGUAAAAGCCUACCAAGGCGAGGAUCGAUAGCUGUUCUGAGAGGAAGAUCAGCCACACUGAGGCGAGGACACGGCGCAGAAUCCUACAGGAGGGAGGAAAGGGGAAUAUAGGAAAACGGGCGGAAGGCUGAACGAGCACUGCUGCGUGAGUGAUGAAGGCCUGAGGGUAAUAAAGCUCUUUUACCCGGGAUGAUAAUGACAGUACCGGAAGAAUAAGCUCCGGCUAACUACGUG
rnacentral:rRNA from 1 species